rnacentral:rRNA from 1 species
UACAGGGGGUGCAAACGUUGCUCGGAAUUAUUGGGCGUAAAGCGCGCGUAGGCGGCUACUUAAGUCGGAUGUGAAAGCCCCUGGCUCAACUGGGGAAGUGCACCCGAAACUGAGUGGCUUGAGUGCGAAAGAGGGUCGCGGAAUUCCCGGUGUAGAGGUGAAAUUCGUAGAUAUCGGGAGGAACACCGGUGGCGAAGGCGGCGACCUGGGUCGACACUGACGCUGAGGCGCGAAAGCGUGGGGAGCAAGACGG